rnacentral:rRNA from 1 species
GACGGGGGCCCGCACAAGUGGUGGAGCAUGUGGUUUAAUUCGAUGAUACGCGAGGAACCUUACCUAGGCUAGAAUGCGCGUGACCGGCUCAGAGAUGAGCCUUUCCUUCGGGACACAAAGCAAGGUGCUGCAUGGCCGUCGUCAGCUCGUGCCGUGAGGUGUUGGGUUAAGUCCCGCAACGAGCGCAACCCCUAUGGUUAGUUGCCAGCACGUAAUGGUGGGGACUCUAGCCAGACUGCCUGCGCAAGCAGUGAGGAAGGCGGGGACGACGUCAGGUCAUCAUGGCCCUUACGCCUAGGGCGACACACGUGCUACAAUGGACGGUACAGCGGGUAGCUACCAGGCGACUGGAUGCCAAUCUCGAAAAGCCGUUCUCAGUUCGGAUUGGAGUCUGCAACUCGACUCCAUGAAGCUGGAAUCACUAGUAAUCGCGCAUCAGCCAUGGCGCGGUGAAUACGUUCCCGGGCCUUGUACACACCGCCCGUCAAGCCAUGAAAGUCUGGUAGACCUGAAGCUGGUGCUCGUCACAGAAGCCAGUUAGGGUAGAACAGGUAAUU